AACAAGAGCCGAAACGACUCCAACCGUCCAACCAUACGAAAUGGAAACGGCGGAAGAGACCGAAGAUUCAACAACAAAAGUGAAAAUAGAGACAAUACUGGAAAUCGCAACUCAGGGACCCGCGAAAGAUCAAACAAGGCGGAAAUCACCCACGAGGAACCGACCUAUUAUUCGUUCAACGUGCAGUCAGAUCACUCGACUUCACCACCCACAACUGAAAGAAAUGACAGGGAAAAACAAAUUCAGCACAUCGAUGCCGUGUUAGAUAGCUGAACUACAAGUCACAUGACGAACAGAAGAGAUGCAUUUAUCGAGUUGGAAGAAAGAAAUUGCGGAUCGGUGAGAAUGGCAGAUGGCACUCCGUGUAAUGCAAUUGGAGUCGGAAGGACAGUAUUAACACCUACAGAAAGGAACGGAAACGAUGUCUUAAUCCUGAAUAAA
rnacentral:lncRNA from 1 species